rnacentral:rRNA from 1 species
AGUGAGCGCUGGCGGUAGGCCUAACACAUGCAAGUCGAACGGCAGCACAGUAAGAGCUUGCUCUUACGGGUGGCGAGUGGCGGACGGGUGAGGAAUACAUCGGAAUCUACUUUUUCGUGGGGGAUAACGUAGGGAAACUUACGCUAAUACCGCAUACGACCUACGGGUGAAAGCAGGGGAUCUUCGGACCUUGCGCGAUUGAAUGAGCCGAUGUCGGAUUAGCUAGUUGGCGGGGUAAAGGCCCACCAAGGCGACGAUCCGUAGCUGGUCCGAGAGGAUGAUCAGCCACACUGGAACUGAGACACGGUCCAGACUCCUACGGGAGGCAGCAGUGGGGAAUAUUGGACAAUGGGCGCAAGCCUGAUCCAGCCAUACCGCGUGGGUGAAGAAGGCCUUCGGGUUGUAAAGCCCUUUUGUUGGGAAAGAAAAGCAGCAGGUUAAUACCCCGCUGUUCUGACGGUACCCAAAGAAUCAGCACCGGCUAACUUCGUG